GAUGAACGCUAGCGGCAGGCUUAACACAUGCAAGUCGUGGGGCAGCGCGAGGUAGCACUACUUUGGCGGCGACCGGCAAACGGGUGCGGAACACGUACGCAACCUUCCUCAAAGCGGGGGAUAGCCUCUCGAAAGAGAGAUUAAUACCCCAUAGUAUCGUCAGAUGGCAUCUGAAGACGAUUAAAGCUCCGGCACUUUGAGAUGGGCGUGCGGCUGAUUAGGUAGUUGGUAGGGUAACGGCCUACCAAGCCGACGAUCAGUAGCUGAUGUGAGGGCAUGAGCAGCCACACGGGCACUGAGACGCGGACACGACUCCUACGGGAGGCAGCAGUGAGGAAUAUUGGUCAAUGGAGGAGACUCUGAACCAGCCAUGCCGAGUGAAGGAUGAAGGUCCUCUGGAUUGUAAACUUCUUUUAUAGAAGAAGAUACCCCAUUUUUCUAAGUGGGUUGACGGUACUCUAUGAAUAAGCACCGGCUAACUCCGUGCCAGCCGCCGCAGUAAUAC
rnacentral:rRNA from 1 species